UACUCUCAGAUCAGGUGACACAGGUUUAAACGUCAAUAAAGAAAAUAGUGGGUUAUGGCAAAGCUGCCGCUCGCCUUUCUGAAAGCAACUCAAAGCAGAUAUCGGCCAGGUACCAGCCUCUGGAGGACAUAGGCCAGCCCUGCAGGUGCCCACCUGAGCUCACUCGGCGUCUGGCCUGUAGAGUUCACUGUAGCGUGAUAAGGAGAAAGUCCAUGCCAGCUUUGCCUUCGUAUCCUGCAGGAGUGCUGGAAUCCCCAGCGGAGACCUGCAACUUUGCACAGCCAGGACAUGAACCAGCACUCCUCUGACUGUAUGACUCACCCUGCACACCAAUCAUCAUGCUUUUACAGAUUGCCCUAAGCAGAAACAUAGAGCCGCUAGAUCUGGAGGGCAAACCUCUGAUCUGGCAGCACUGCUGAGAAGAACCGAAGUUGUGCUGCUCAUAUUUACAGUCUUUGUUGGCAUUAACCAGCUGCGC